CAGUUGUUCCAUCUUGUUUAAAAAGAGAUGGAUGGUUAUUUUGGCCAACUUGUGUUUAUGCAAUAAAAGCUACCUAUAAUAAUUUUCCAAUCAUAGAUUCCUGCAACAAGCUUAGACUUAAAAGAGUUAAAGUAACUGGAGAUAAAGAAGUAUGUGCAGGAUUUAAUUUCACGACUAAAGAGGACUCCGAAGAAGAAUUAAAGUUCUGGUGGAUCAAAGAUCGAGGAAUGAUUAGGUUUUAACUGGUUUGCAUCUUAUGUACAAAGUACAUAGUAUGAUUUAAAUUGAUAGUUGAUAGUUACACCUAUUAAAAUUCUGUAUCUCAAUGAUAUCCUUGCUUAUCGAUAC